GCGAUAAAUGAAUGAGAAAGUCUCAGUAAAAUCCAUUGAAGUCAAAGAAAUUACAGCUUCUGCCAAGGGGUUCUCCCUGUAAAACAGGGUCUCAGCUCCACUGCACCUCGUAAGAUUGGAUUAGAUCCUCAUCGACAUUCCCAAGAAAUAAUAACUCAGAAGAAAGACAAAAUAGCAAUGAAAGGCUCGGAUAAGAAUACAGCUUUUUCGAUCAAGAAUUAUCUGAAGCAGAACUGGCGUAUCAAGCUGUUACAAUUCAUCAUCCCAGCCAAUCAAAACACAGAAACCCAUAUAAAAAAAAAACAAAACUUUGGCUCAUAUUAAGAAAUUCAACCAUGUAUUUACCGUAUCUACUUCAUUGAAUAAUCUCAG
rnacentral:sRNA from 1 species